GCAUUGGUGGUUCAGUGGUAGAAUGCUCGCCUGCCACGCGGGCGAAACGGGUUCGAUUCCCCGCCACUGGA
rnacentral:tRNA from 1 species